GGAAAUCUCACCAGGCCCGGACACUGGAAGGAUUGACAGAUUGAGAGCUCUUUCUCGAUUCGGUGGGUGGUGGUGCAUGGCCGUUCUUAGUUGGUGGAGUGAUUUGUCUGGUUAAUUCCGAUAACGAACGAGACUCUGUCCUGCUAAAUAGUGUCAGCCUCUCUUCUGGGCUGACAAUUCUUCUUAGAGGGACUGGCGGCUCCUAGCCACACGAGAUAGAGCAAUAA
rnacentral:rRNA from 1 species